CACGUAGGGGGCGAGCGUUGUCCGGAUUUAUUGGGCGUAAAGAGCUCGUAGGCGGUUCACUAAGUCGGGUGUGAAACCUCCAGGCUCAACCUGGAGACGCCACCUGAUACUGGUGUGACUAGAGUCCGGUAGGGGAGUGUGGAACUCCUGGUGUAGCGGUGAAAUGCGCAGAUAUCAGGAGGAACACCGAUGGCGAAGGCAGCUCGCUGGGACGUGACUGACGCUGAGACGCGAAAGCGUGGGGAGCAAACAGG
rnacentral:rRNA from 1 species